rnacentral:rRNA from 1 species
UACGUAGGGUGCAAGCGUUAAUCGGAAUUACUGGGCGUAAAGCGUGCGCAGGCGGUUAUGUAAGACAGGUGUGAAAUCCCCGGGCUUAACCUGGGAACUGCAUUUGUGACUGCAUAGCUAGAGUACGGUAGAGGGGGAUGGAAUUCCGCGUGUAGCAGUGAAAUGCGUAGAUAUGCGGAGGAACACCGAUGGCGAAGGCAACCCCUCCGGACGUGCUAUUGAUCGCUGAGGCACGAAAGCGUGGGGAUCAAACAGG